ACCAACAAUACAAAACAUUAGCCGGGUGUGGUGGCAGGUGCCUGUAAUCCCAG
rnacentral:antisense_RNA from 1 species